rfam:Peptoniphilus indolicus ATCC 29427 genomic scaffold SCAFFOLD1, whole genome shotgun sequence.
UAAAAAAUACUGAUAUGGAAGAGUAGAUAAAGUGAGUUUUAAAGAGAUGUGUCGGUUGGUGCGAGACACAAUACAAGUUUUAUUGAAAAUCGCCAUUGAGUAAUGAUACUGAAAGAGGAGUAAGUAUUGUCGGGAUCUCCCGUUAUAGAGAUAUUCAUUGUUGAAUUGAGAGCAUCAUUUUAAAGAUGAAGAAGAGUGGUACCGCGGAAAAUAGUUUAUAUAUCUUUCGUCUCUUCA